rnacentral:rRNA from 1 species
CACGUAGUUAGCCGUGGCUUCCUCCUCAGGUACCGUCAUUAUCGUCCCUGAAGACAGAGCUUUACAACCCGAAGGCCGUCAUCACUCGCGCGGCGUUGCUGCAUCAGGGUUUCCCCCAUUGUGCAAUAUUCCCCACUACUGCCUCCCGUAGGAGUCUGGGCCGUGUCUCAGUCCCAAUGUGGCCGAUCACCCUCUCAGGUCGGCUACGCAUCGUCGCCUUGGUGAGCCCGUUACCUCACCAACUAGCUAAUGCGCCGCGGGUCCAUCUCAUAGCGGAUUACUCCUUUAAUUGCUGUACCAUGCGGUACUACAAUCUUAUGCGGUAUUAAUCUUCCUUUCGAAAGGCUAUUCCCCUCUAUGAGGCAGGUUACCCACGUGUUACUCACCCGUCCGCCGCUAUUCAUUCCCCGAAGGUAAUUUCAUCGCUCGACUUGCAUGUGUUAGGCACGCCGCCAGCGUCGUCUCGAGCGACGGAUACAACGUACUCUCGACGACGUACGCGAAACC